rnacentral:rRNA from 1 species
UACGAAGGGUGCAAGCGUUACUCGGAAUUACUGGGCGUAAAGCGUGCGUAGGUGGCGGUUUAAGUCAGAUGUGAAAGCCCUGGGCUCAACCUGGGAACUGCAUUUGAUACUGGAUCACUAGAGUGCGGUAGAGGAUAGUGGAAUUCCCGGUGUAGCAGUGAAAUGCGUAGAGAUCGGGAGGAACACCAGUGGCGAAGGCGACUAUCUGGACCAGCACUGACACUGAGGCACGAAAGCGUGGGGAGCAAACAGG